rnacentral:lncRNA from 1 species
AAGGGGCACUAUACCAACUAUUUGUCGGAUCAUUGACGCUAACCAUUAAUCCCAAAAACUCGAGCUGUUAAAAAUAUGCAAUCAAUUCACUUAAAGCGUACAGGUACAGCACCCACAGGUCUCAAUAGUGACUCGGCUCAAUCAACUUCACGCCACUUCGAACAUGACUCGGCUCACCCAGCCUUACGCCAUUUCAAACAUAACUUGGCCCAAUAUGAUCUCCCGUCACAGAGCAGGUUGCUGAUCCAUUUAAACUAAUACUAUUGUCCUAAGCCAAUUAAUUAUUUGUUUUGUUCCGCUUUUACUUUUGUUUUCAGCAUCG